UAAGCCCUACGGGGCGCAGCAGUGAGGAAUAUUGGUCAAUGGGCGGAAGCCUGAACCAGCCAAGUCGCGUGAGGGAUUAAGGCCCUAUGGGUCGUAAACCUCUUUUGUCAGGGAGCAAGGUCGUCCACGUGUGGGCGUAUGGAGAGUACCUGAAGAAAAAGCAUCGGCUAACUCCGUGCCAGCAGCCGCGGUAAUACGGAGGAUGCGAGCGUUAUCCGGAUUUAUUGGGUUUAAAGGGUGCGCAGGCGGCGAGUUAAGUCAGCGGUAAAAUUUCGGGGCUCAACCCCGACGAGCCGUUGAAACUG
rnacentral:rRNA from 1 species